rnacentral:rRNA from 1 species
ACUCAAAUGAAUAGACGGGGGCCCGCACAAGCAGUGGAGUAUGUGGUUUAAUUCGACGCAACGCGAAGAACCUUACCAGGUCUUGACAUCUGGCAAAUUUGGUCGAAAGAUCGAAGUGCCCUUCGGGGAAUGCCAAGACAGGUGGUGCAUGGUUGUCGUCAGCUCGUGUCGUGAGAUGUUGGGUUAAGUCCCGCAACGAGCGCAACCCUUGCCGUUAGUUACUACGAGAGAGAACUUUAACGGGACUGCCGUUGAAAAAACGGAGGAAGGUGGGGAUGACGUCAAAUCAUCAUGCCCCUUAUGACCUGGGCUACACAUGUACUACAAUGGCGUUUAACAAUGAGUUGCAACUUAGCGAUAGGGAGCUAACCUUUAAAAAACGCCUCAGUUCGGAUUGUAGGCUGAAACUCGCCUGCAUGAAGUAGGAAUUGCUAGUAAUCGCGGAUCAGCACGCCGCGGUGAAUACGUUCCCGGGCCUUGUACACACCGCCCGU